AUUUAUUCAUGCUAAUGGGCGUUGCAUGAAAAAUGCCACCCCACAGCAUGUAUAAUCCAUACGCUGCAGGUAAAUCAAAAAGGAAUCCCUGGUGACCUGCCUUUAUUUCAUUCCUGCAGCAUAU
rnacentral:snoRNA from 1 species